UCUUGCUAUGAUGAUAAGAAAACAUGUGUUUAUUCAAAUUAUAUUGUUAUUGGAUUUUUCUUAACUAAGAAGAUACUCCUCAUCCAAGCAUACACAAUGGAGAAAUCGCUCUAAAUGCAAUCCAACUUCGGCAUGCGAAAGUUUCUACUGGCGAUGUUGUACUGGUGAUCAGAUUUAUUCCACCUGAUGAGUCUAACCUGGCAUUGCUCACUUUAGAGUUAGAGUUUGUGAAAAAGGGUACUAAAAGUGAACAGGUUGAUGCUGUUCUCUCGGCCAAUCAUCUUAGAAAGAGGUUUAUUUACCAGAGUGAAGAAAAUGGCAUGGAGAUGACAAAUUUCUCAGAAUUUGAAGGAGUUUUUUGAAAGACCAACUAGACAAACACCUAACUAAAUUGGAGAGAGUAUAGCUGAUGGCCAACAAGUUGUUUAACUAAAAUAUGGCCAACAACUUUAAUGG